rnacentral:sRNA from 1 species
UGUUUUAUGGUGUAAUUUAAUCAGCAAGUGGGCGGUAGCAAUCCCUUAUGAAAGUGGUGGUGCCUAUGAAUGUUAUCAUGGAAUCUACACGAAAGGAGGUUGCUUCGUGAGUGUAGCUGAAGGGCUCACAUUAAUGCUUAGUUUCGGCAUGUUUAUCAUUGCCUUACUAACAU